GACCCCGUAGCUCAGUUGGAUAGAGCGGCGGUUUCCUAAACCGCAGGCCGUGCGUUCGAUCCGCACCGGGGUCA
rnacentral:tRNA from 1 species